GAUCCAGCCAUGCCGCGUGCAGGAAGACGGCCUUAUGGGUUGUAAACUGCUUUUAUACGGGAGCAAUAAGGGUUACGAGUAAUCCGAUGAGAGUACUGUAUGAAUAAGGAUCGGCUAACUCCGUGCCAGCAGCCGCGGUAAUACGGAGGAUCCGAGCGUUAUCCGGAAUUAUUGGGUUUAAAGGGUGCGUAGGCGGCCAUUUAAGUCAGCGGUGAAAUUUUGCAGCUUAACUGUAACAGUGCCGUUGAUACUGUUUGGCUAGGAUUUGGUUGUAGUGUGCGGAAUGUGUGGUGUAGCGGUGAAAUGCUUAGAUAUCACACAGAACACCGAUUGCGAAGGCAGCACACUAAGUCAUUAUUGACGCUGAGGCACGAAAGUGUGGGGAUCAAACAGGAUUAGAUACCCUGGUAGUCCACACUGUAAACGAUGAUAACUCGCUGUCGGCGAUACACAGUCGGUGGCCAAGCGAAAGCAUUAAGUUAUCCACCUGGGGAGUACGACCGCAAGGUUGAAACUCAAAGGAAUUGACGGGGGCCCGCACAAGCGGAGGAACAUGUGGUUUAAUUCGAUGAUACGCGAGGAACCUUACCUGGGCUUAAAUGUAUAGUGCAUAAUAUGGAAACAUAUUUUUCCUUCGGGACUCUUUACAAGGUGCUGCAUGGUUGUCGUCAGCUCGUGCCGUGAGGUGUCGGGUUAAGUCCCAUAACGAGCGCAACCCUCAUCGCCAGNNACCAGCAUGUAAUGAUGGGGACUCUGGUGAAACUGCCGGUGUAAACCGUGAGGAAGGUGGGGAUGACGUCAAAUCAGCACGGCCCUUAUGUCCAGGGCUACACACGUGUUANNAUGGCCAAUACAAAGGGCAGCCACCCGGCGACGGGGUGCUAAUCCAUAAAGUUGGUCUUAGUUCGGAUCGGAGUCUGCAACUCGACUCCGUGAAGCUGGAUUCGCUAGUAAUCGUAGAUCAGCCAUGCUACGGUGAAUACGUUCCCGGGCCUUGUAAACACCGCCCGUCAAG
rnacentral:rRNA from 1 species